rnacentral:ncRNA from 1 species
AAUAGAGGCGCGAUAAACAUCAGUACGCAUUGUGAUCAUGAUCACAUCGCACAAUGCCGAAAGGGAAUAUCGCCGAAGCACAAUCGGGCCGGAUCAGCUCGCUGUGUUGGGACUGCGGAGAACAUCUGCAGGACUCCAUUACCUUGACGUAAUGAGGCGCUAUUUAU